GACGAACGCUGGCGGCGUGCCUAACACAUGCAAGUCGAGCGAUGAAGUUCCUUCGGGAAUGGAUUAGCGGCGGACGGGUGAGUAACACGUGGGUAACCUGCCUCAUAGAGGGGAAUAGCCUUCCGAACGGAAGAUUAAUACCGCAUAAUGUAGUACCUUCGCAUGAAGGAACUAUCAAACGAGCAAUCUGCUAUGAGAUGGACCCGGGGCGCAUUAGCUAGUUGGUGAGGUAACGGCUCACCAAGGCGACGAUGCGUAGCCGACCUGAGAGGGUGAUCGGCCACAUUGGAAAUGAGACACGGUCCAGACUCCUACGGGAGGCAGCAGUGGGGAAUAUUGCGCAAUGGGGGAAACUCUGACGCAGCAACGCCGCGUGAAUGAAGAAGGCCUUCGGGUUGUAAAGUUCUGUCUUAUGGGAAGAUAAUGACGGUACCAUAGGAGGAAGCCACGGCUAACUACGUGCCAGCCGCCGCGGUAACAC
rnacentral:rRNA from 1 species